CACGUAGGGUGCGAGCGUUGUCCGGAAUUAUUGGGCGUAAAGAGCUCGUAGGCGGUCUGUUGCGUCGGCUGUGAAAACCCGGGGCUCAACCCCGGGCCUGCAGCCGAUACGGGCAGACUGGAGUUCGGCAGGGGAGACUGGAAUUCCUGGUGUAGCGGUGAAAUGCGCAGAUAUCAGGAGGAACACCGGUGGCGAAGGCGGGUCUCUGGGCCGAUACUGACGCUGAGGAGCGAAAGCGUGGGGAGCGAACAGG
rnacentral:rRNA from 1 species